rnacentral:misc_RNA from 1 species
ACAUUAUCCAGUUGUAUUCAGGAAACCUAGUAAAGGCUGAGGAGGGUAUGUUUCUAUCUCAGCCUGGCACUGGAAUGGAUGGUGGCUUGCUUCCAACUACAGUUUGUGUCUUUGUGAAAGAACAUUAUCCAGUUUUCUCAGUACCAUGGGAGUUGGUUAGUGAAAUACAAGCCUUAGGGGUUACAGUCAGGGAAAUCAAACCUAAGAUGGUCCGGGACCUUCUUCGGGCUUCUUCAACAUCUAUUGUUCUCCGAUCAGUUGAGACUUACAUUGAUGUACUUGAAUAUUGCUUAUCAGAUAUCCAGCUUCUAGAAACCAG